GAUGAACGCUGGCGGCGUGCCUAAUACAUGCAAGUCGAACGGGGAGUAGCAAUACUCUUAGUGGCGAACGGGUGAGUAACGCGUUGGUACCUGCCCCGAAGCGGGGGAUAACGGACCGAAAGGUCCGCUAAUACCCCAUGUGCUCGGUAACGAGUAAAGGUGAAAACCACUUUGGGAGGGGCCUGCGUCCCAUCAGCUAGUUGGUAAGGUAACGGCUUACCAAGGCGAUGACGGGUAGGGGACCUGAGAGGGUGGCCCCCCACAAUGGAACUGAAACACGGUCCAUACACCUACGGGUGGCAGCAGUAGGGAAUAUUGGUAAUGGGCGCAAGCCUGAACCAGCAACGCCGCGUGGGCGAUGACGGCCUUCGGGUUGUAAAGCACUUUUGACGGGGACGAGGAAGGACGGUACCGGUCGAAUCAGCCUCGGCUAACUACGUG
rnacentral:rRNA from 1 species